CAAAAUUAAUAAAUCCACAAAUGACCCAUCGUCCUUCAUCCAUAUACUUUCUUAAAUCAUAGGGUUUCCUUAUCUGAGCUCCCGACCAUCUCCCUCUAUGUCAUCGCUUGGAGCUGUUGUUAAACUGAGCUUCUGUUUCUUCUUGUUGUGGAUCAGCAACACCUAUUAUGAUGGUGUCGAUAGUUGUAUCCCGGUGGAUGUAAUGGAUUCCUAAGAGGAAUCGAUAGAGGUGCCAUGUCUUGUGUGACCUGGGAUAGUUGUAUCCAGUAAGAUCCUUUCCCCUCUUUUUUUUUUAUCUUUAUCCUUCUUAUUCUUGAUUCUGUCUCUUUGUAUCCCUCUUUGACGCAGUUGCGUGGCUAUGAAUAUGUCACUCGACUUCCCCGCCCCUGUUCAUAAGUUCUCCAUUUGACUUUAAUUUUUGCUGCUGUCAUUUUAUGUGCACUGACUGAGCCUAGGUUAUGUAGAUUUUUUUCUCACAUUUAUGAUUACCCUGAAGUGGUAACAACAAUCAAUGUAAAUCUCUUGUCUGUGAGAAUUUCUGGUGUCGAUAUUCCUGUACAUGCUUGUGUGUGUUAAUAGCCAUUAAUCCUGAUCCUUCUUGGC